AGAGUUUGAUCCCUGGCUCAGGAUGAAUGCUGGCGGCGUGCCUAACACAUGCAAGUCGAGCGGCAGCGAGGGGUGCUUGCACCCUGUCGGCGAGCGGCGGACGGCUGAGUAACGCGUGGGAAUCUACCCUAAAGUGAGGGAUAACCGCCCGAAAGGGUGGCUAAUACCGCAUAUGAUCUUCGGAUUAAAGGAUUUAUCCGCUUUAGGAAGAGCCCGCGUUAGAUUAGGUAGUUGGUAGGGUAAUGGCCUACCAAGCCAACGAUCUAUAGCUGGUCUGAGAGGAUGAUCAGCCAGACUGGAACUGAGACACGGUCCAGACUCCUACGGGAGGCAGCAGUGAGGAAUCUUCCACAAUGGGCGAAAGCCUGAUGGAGCAACGCCGCGUGAAGGAUGAAGGCCUUCGGGUUGUAAACUUCUUUUAUGAGUGAAGAAUAUGACGGUAACUCAUGAAUAAGCACCGGCUAACUACGUGCCAGCAGCCGCGGUCAUACGUAGGGUGCAAGCAUUAUCCGGAGUGACUGGGCGUAAAGAGUUGCGUAGGCGGUUUAGUAAGUGAAUAGUGAAACCUGGUGGCUCAACCAUACAGACUAUUAUUCAAACUGUUAAACUCGAGAGUGGUAGAGGUAACUGGAAUUUCUAGUGUAGGAGUGAAAUCCGUAGAUAUUAGAAGGAACACCAAUGGCGUAGGCAGGUUACUGGACCAUUUCUGACGCUAAGGCACGAAAGCGUGGGGAGCGAACUGGAUUAGAUACCCAGGUAGUCCACGCCGUAAACGAUGGAUACUAGCUGUUGGAGGUAUCGACCCCUUCAGUAGCGAAGCUAACGCGUUAAGUAUCCCGCCUGUGGAGUACGGCCGCAAGGCUAAAACAUAAAGGAAUUGACGGGGACCCGCACAAGCGGUGGAUCAUGUUCUUUAAUUCGAUGAUAAACGAAGAACCUUACCAGGGUUUGACAUCCCGAGAAGAUUUACGAAAGUAAAUUGUGCCUUUUGGAACUCGGUGACAGAUGAUGCAUGGCCGUCGUCAGCUCGUGUCGUGAGGUGUUUGGUUAAGUCCAUCAACGAGCGCAACCCUUGUGUCUAGUUGUAUUUUUCUAGACAGACUGCUUCGGUAACGGAGAGGAAGGAGGGGAUGAUGUCAGGUC
rnacentral:rRNA from 1 species